rnacentral:rRNA from 1 species
AACGAACGCUGGCGGCAUGCCUAACACAUGCAAGUCGAACGAGACCUUCGGGUCUAGUGGCGCACGGGUGCGUAACGCGUGGGAACCUGCCCUUAGGUUCGGAAUAACUCCCCGAAAGGGGUGCUAAUACCGGAUAAUGUCUUCGGGCCAAAGAUUUAUCGCCUUUGGAUGGGCCCGCGUUGGAUUAGCUAGUUGGUAGGGUAAAAGCCUACCAAAGCGACGAUCCAUAGCUGGUCUGAGAGGAUGAUCAGCCACACUGGGACUGAGACACGGCCCAGACUCCUACGGGAGGCAGCAGUGGGGAAUAUUGGACAAUGGGCGAAAGCCUGAUCCAGCAAUGCCGCGUGAGUGAUGAAGGCCUUAGGGUUGUAAAGCUCUUUUACCCGGGAUGAUAAUGACAGUACCGGGAGAAUAAGCUCCGGCUAACUCCGUG